GCUGCGAACUGACACGAAGAAAAGAUACACAAUAUCCUUGGUGCUUCCCAAAGGAGAAGCUGUUGGGAUUGAUCUGCGAGUAAGAAAAUCGGCCACGAGGCUGGUUUACUACUCUUUAAAAUUCCAUUCUAAUCCGACAGGGAAUAGAGAACGAAUCGAAGUUGACUUACGAAAUUUCAGCCAAACAAGGUAGUGAUACUCCUAGUUUUAGAACCAUACCUAAAAGGAUUACAGAUACAGCAAUUUUUUCUCCUACGUGCUGGUUCUCUUCUAAGAUUAUUGCAUUAUUUCGGUGGUGCCAUGUAUUCAUGUUAAUUGCUGCAGUUGUCACUCAAUUCUAUAGCUGGGUGUUAUAAUGUUUUGCCCUCCUACAGGUUAAGUUUGAAGUAAUUUUGAGAUGGACCCAAUGGGUCUUUAACAGCGAAUUUUUAUAGCCUUGGGAGUCAUCUAGACCACCAAAUUUUGUAAAUAAGUCUGUUAUUCUCCAUUUUAGUUUCUUAAUAAUUAAAUCACCUCUGUUUAAGUAAAUAACACGUUGAGAGAGAUUCCAAUUCGAAAAUGUAACGGAGAUGUUAUUUCCAGAGUCACUGAGAUGUCGGCAGAUUUUUGUUUAAUCUUCUCAAUGCUUACGAUAUAUUUUUGUCUUUAUAUUAUUCAAUAUUACGACAAUUUGUGAGGAAAGCCAGUCUGUUUCAAAUCAAAACAAAAUACACGAGCUAGCAUGAAGCUUGUACCAUUGUAAAACAACAGCAUUUUGGACCAAUCAGAGCUCGCGCAGUGGUGUUGCUAUGGACACCAAAUUUAGGCUCGUUCAGCAAGAUAUUUUGAUCUGGCAUUUUAAUUAAAGACAUGUUUGGUUCUGUAGAUAAAUACGUCUCGCUUGAACUUGGCAGGUUAUUUGAAUAAAACACGUUUUGAAACAUUUUGUUUCAAACUGUCCUUGAUUCGGCAACGCCAGUUAAACAAAUUAGCAAAACAAUGCGUUGCUGGUUUGAAGGGUGUCGAGCUUCCUGAUAUAGAGAAAAGAAACGAAUUAUACAUGAAACAAACAUAACGCCUUGAAAGAUUGUUCGAUAAUUAAAGUUAUUAUGAAAUAAACCGCGGCUUUGACUAUUUUCAAGACAAAAUCUUUUAAGGAAACUACAAUAUUCCAAAAAUUCUUUUUAUUUUUAUUAGCGCCUUUUAAACCACGUAUGUAUUUAAUUCACGGUUGUCUGUUUAGUAUAGAUAUUUUCUGAAAUUAGAUACCCAUAAUCAAUUUGGUAAUAUGCUAAUUUGGCGUGAAGAAAAAACGUGUGUAUCCGAUACUAAUUUCUGUUUCUAAUCAUUUUAGCUGUCUUGAAAUUGACACGAAAUUGAAUUUAUUCCAGUUGCUGGGUAUUUCGAACCGAUAUCAACGAUCAGGUAGAUAAAUUUGCGUGUCAGACCUGGAGACACCUGUAUCCUGCGGUUUAUAUGCGCGGCAGGGCAAAAUAUAACUGGGUCUUGCCCUAUUUAUUCAGCUUGUUAUUAGUACUUAUAGACAGGCAUACAUUUCGCAGAACAGAUCCGUGUUUCAAAUAGUGCUAAUUUAAAUCUUGCUUGCGAAACCGGAAUUUGUUUUGUAGGUGACAGGCGUCGUUAUCGAAAAACCCUUCAUAAAAUACUGUAGCCAAUAUACCAACGAGUGGGCCUCGAAAGUUCUUUAUGAAAAGACACAGUCGGAAUGGCUUAUUUCUGAAAGCCACACAGCCUGUCCAAACACGAGAUAAGUUCCACUGAGUCAUUAAGCAAACUUCUCUUGGACGUUCAACAACAGAACAACACGUGAGGGCCAUUUUUUUUUAUCAACAUCCAUACCACAGGGAAUACAACAGCUGUCAGAUCAGAUCUUCAAACAAAUCGAGGAACUGACUUUAACCAUGAAAACGCCACGAUUCAUCUUGGCUCUGUUCUUGUUUAUCAUCUCUUUAACGAAAGCGAAGAACUGCUCAAUGCAAGCGAAAAGUAUCUUAAACAAGACAGUCGUCAAAAUGACUGAUGAAGAGUGCGAAACAUUUAACUCUGAGCCAUGUGAGACAACAGAAAACAUAGAAGAAUUGGAUUUAUCCCGCAAUAAAAUUGUAGAAAUAAAGCGUGCCAUGUUCACUUGUCUCAAGAAACUGAAGAAAUUGUGAGUACCUUAUUUAACAUCUGUAGUUGAGU